rnacentral:rRNA from 1 species
AACGAACGCUGGCGGCAUGCCUAACACAUGCAAGUCGAACGAGACCUUCGGGUCUAGUGGCGCACGGGUGCGUAACGCGUGGGAACCUGCCCUUAGGUUCGGAAUAACUCCCCGAAAGGGGUGCUAAUACCGGAUAAUGUCUUCGGACCAAAGAUUUAUCGCCUUGGGAUGGGCCCGCGUUGGAUUAGCUAGUUGGUAGGGUAAAAGCCUACCAAGGCGACGAUCCAUAGCUGGUCUGAGAGGAUGAUCAGCCACACUGGGACUGAGACACGGCCCAGACUCCUACGGGAGGCAGCAGUAGGGAAUAUUGGACAAUGGGCGAAAGCCUGAUCCAGCAAUGCCGCGUGAGUGAUGAAGGCCUUAGGGUUGUAAAGCUCUUUUACCCGGGAUGAUAAUGACAGUACCGGGAGAAUAAGCGCCGGCUAACUCCGUG